rnacentral:rRNA from 1 species
UGGGGAAUAUUGCACAAUGGGGGAAACCCGUGAUGCAGCGACGCCGCGUGAGUGAAGAAGUAAUUCGUUAUGUAAAGCUCUAUCAGCAGGGAAGAAAAUGACGGUACCUGAGUAAGAAGCCCCGGCUAACUACGUGCC